GGAAUCUUAGACAAUGGGCGCAAGCCUGAUCUAGCCAUGCCGCGUGGACGAUGAAGGCCUUAGGGUUGUAAAGCUCUUUUACCAGGGAUGAUAAUGACAGUACCUGGAGAAUAAGCUCCGGCUACCUCCGUGCCGGCAGCCGCGGUAAUACGGAGGGAGCUAGCGUUGUUCGGAAUUACUGGGCGUAAAGCGCGCGUAGGCGGCUUUUCAAGUCAGGGGUGAAAUCCCGGGGCUCAACCCCGGAACUGCCCUUGAAACUGGAUGGCUAGAAUACUGGAGAGGUGAGUGGAAUUCCGAGUGUAGAGGUGAAAUUCGUAGAUAUUCGGAAGAACACCAGUGGCGAAGGCGACUCACUGGACAGUUAUUGACGCUGAGGUGCGAAAGCGUGGGGAGCAA
rnacentral:rRNA from 1 species